rnacentral:rRNA from 1 species
AUGUCUUCGUCAGCGAAGCACGGCACCACCACCACCUCCUCUUCCUCAAUAGACCCGGCAGAAACCGCCUCGUCCUCGUCGUACUUCCUACCAGAGCUGAUCCCACUGGUCGCGAGCCGACUGACGACCCUACAGGAUUUCUUCGCCCUCCGCGCCAUCUGCCGCACCUACCGGGCUCUCCUCCCGCUGUCGCAGUCCAACCUCGCCUCCCAGGCUCCGCUCCUCCUCGUCCCGCACAAGGCAUCUUCCUCGGAAGCCCUCUUCCACAUCCCACUCCGCCGCAUCCUCCGCUUUCGCCUACCCCGCACCCCCUUAGCCCACCGCGACCCCAACAAUGCCGAAUUCCAUUCCUUCGGUUGCCGUGUCGCCAUCGAAGACAGCGAUGCCAUGGGCAGCCACCUCGAGCUCCACAUCUGCCACCUCCUUACAGGCCAGCAAGUCCGCCUGCCCGAUCCCCCAAAAGACUACGAAGGAAUCAUCUUUGCCGGCGAUCUCGUCCUCACCUUUAAUCGAUACUACCACACCGUCCGCUACUGCCGCAUUGGAGGCAAGGACAAUGACUGGCGAGCAGCGCGGUGCGCUGAAGGCUACGGGCUUCGUGACCUGAUUUCCCUGAAUGGCACCCUCUACGCAUUGAUUUUUCCAAAUUACUGCCUCGCUGUCGUCGAGCUUGACAACAGUUACGUGGUAUUGUCGUUUCUUGGUGGUGAAUUGAGUGCAGAGACAGUUGAGAAUUCUUCAAUGUUGAGGCUAGCAGAGUGCCGUGGUGAGCUAUUGCUCAUUAGUGCUGUUAGGUACCCGGUGGGGUACCAAGUUUUCCAGUGGCAAUCUGGGGAUAGGAAGUGGGUGAGGACUACUGCCCUUGGUGGGUGUAGCUUGUUCUUUAAUAUUCUCCAGUUUGCAGGUUGCCUUGGUCCAGAUCAUCCAGCAGUUCAAGGGAACUGCUUGUACAUCAUUAAGUACAAUGGGCAGUGUAUCAAGUAUUCUCUGGUUGAUGGAUCUUCGCAUGAACUCGUUGCCGACUACCCAGGACAACCACGGGCUUGGGUCCUUCCAAGCAUUUGUUGA